GGUGAGAUACUCGCACCUGUCCCAGUCACUGCCAUGUGUAACACUGCUUGGAUUCCUGGGGGAUGAAAAAUCAUUAAUGUCCUUAAUGAAUGUAAGGUGUUAGCUUAUGUGCAUUGUCAGCAGUAAGAGCUCAUUCUAAAGAUGUUCCAUUUAAGAUGCUCAGUGCAAAAUCAUAGAAUCCUUAAGGCUGUAAAAGACCUCUAAGAUCAAGUCCAACUGACAGCCCACCCCCACCAUGACACCAAGCCACGUCCCUCACUGUCACAGCCGCGUGGUUCUUUAACACCUCCGGGGACAGUGACUCCACUGCUCCCCUGGGCAUUCCAACACUUGAAAUAAGUGACAGAGCAGAGCCAUUGGUGGUGUGAAGUGGUCUCCAGUGUAAAAAUGGGCUUAGGAACUUCAGUCACUAGAGAGCAGUUGUUUUCCUUCUUAUAUUGCUUUUCUGUCCUGAUAUAUUGUUAUUAUAGUUAGAUUGUAUAUAUAUUAUUAGAUGCUGUUUUUUUAUUUCUUUCUAUAUUUUCUAUUUUCUUUUUAUAUUUUUGAGGCGUUUAGUCGAAAACCCCCAGAGACACAUAAAAGCCUUUCUGCGGUGGAUUAAAUUCCCCAGUGAAAGUCAUCCUUGCCUGAAAGGGUAGGGAAGAGCAAGGCUGUUUCCCUUGAGAGUCAGCGAUGAGCUGAGAGGGAGGGCGAGAAAAUUCCAGCUUCCCCCUCUGCCUUUGUGAGCCGCAGCAGCACAUCGCCCUUCUAGACUUUGCACAAAGGCAAGAGUUCAUCUUCACUUUCAGCUGUUGCCGUCCCCCCUUUCAAAGCUAUGGCACUGUGUUUGACUGCGGCCACGACAGCACAUCUCCAGGGAGAACAACAAAACACAGAGGCGGUGAGAAACCUGGGAACAAACAGCAGCCAAGCAACUCCACCGCCACAGCGGGGUGACAAAAAGGGGCAUGGGAAAUCCCAAGGGUUACUUGGAGGGGUGACCGAGGAGACGAGGGUGAUGAAGUAACACACAGCGUUGCAGGUCAGGGAGGCAUUCGUGACCUGGCCGGGACAAAGGCUGUAGUUUGACCAGUGGUGGUGAUGGAAGUCACGAGCCACGAGCGAAGGGUUUUGCCUCCUUGCUCUGUGCCUGCACUGGAAUUAAUCACUUGCACACAAAUGUCAACACUGCGGAAAAUAUCCUUUGGGAUAAUCUCUCUCGCAAAGCCGCUUAACAUUUUAGUAAUAAACAGUUCACUUCCAGGUGUC
ensembl:lncRNA